rnacentral:rRNA from 1 species
CGUGAACGCUGGCGGCAGGCCUAACACAUGCAAGUCGAGCGGUAGAGAGAAGCUUGCUUCUCUUGAGAGCGGCGGACGGGUGAGUAAUGCCUAGGAAUCUGCCUGGUAGUGGGGGAUAACGUUCGGAAACGGACGCUAAUACCGCAUACGUCCUACGGGAGAAAGCAGGGGACCUUCGGGCCUUGCGCUAUCAGAUGAGCCUAGGUCGGAUUAGCUAGUUGGUGAGGUAAUGGCUCACCAAGGCGACGAUCCGUAACUGGUCUGAGAGGAUGAUCAGUCACACUGGAACUGAGACACGGUCCAGACUCCUACGGGAGGCAGCAGUGGGGAAUAUUGGACAAUGGGCGAAAGCCUGAUCCAGCCAUGCCGCGUGUGUGAAGAAGGUCUUCGGAUUGUAAAGCACUUUAAGUUGGGAGGAAGGGCAGUUACCUAAUACGUGAUUGUUUUGACGUUACCGACAGAAUAAGCACCGGCUAACUCUGUGCCAGCAGCCG